UUGCUGGUGCCAUUGACUCUUGUGCUGACCAUCUUUGUGUUUUGGCAUGUUUAUCUUAUUCUGCAAAACAAGACCACAAUAGAGUACCAUGAAGGUGUGAGAGCUAUGUGGCUUGCUGAAAAAGGAGGUUAUCUGUAUUCACAUCCAUAUGAUCUUGGUGCUUAUGAGAAUAUGAUAUCAGUUUUAGGACCACAUAUCUUUUGCUCGGUAUGUCCCACCUCAGAGCAGAUUGGUUCUGGCCUUCGUUUCCGCGCGGGAGUUGAUAAGUUAGCAGGGAUAUCAUUUUAGACGUAUGUAGAGCUUGGAGUUUCAAUAAUUUUGUA